AUUGAACGCUGGCGGAAUGCUUUACACAUGAAAGUCGAACGGCAGCACGGACUUCGGUCUGGUGGCGAGUGGCGAACGGGUGAGUAAUACAUCGGAACGUGCCCAGUCGUGGUGGAUAACGUAGCGAAAGCUACGCUAAUACCGCAUACGCUCGAAGGAUGAAAGCGGGGGACCGGAAGGCCUCGCGCGAUUGGAACGGCCGAUGGCAGAUUAGGUAGUUGGUUGGGUAAAGGCCUACCAAGCCGACGAUCUGUAGCUGGUCUGAGAGGACGACCAGCCACACUGGGACUGAGACACGGCCCAGACUCCUACGGGAGGCAGCAGUGGGGAAUUUUGGACAAUGGGCGCAAGCCUGAUCCAGCCAUUCCGCGUGCAGGAUGAAGGCCUUCGGGUUGUAAACUGCUUUUGUACGGAACGAAAAGGCUCUGGUUAAUACCUGGGGCUCAUGACGGUACCGUAAGAAUAAGCACCGGCUAACUACGUGCCAGCAGCCGCCGUAA
rnacentral:rRNA from 1 species